CGAAGGUGGCAAGCGUUACUCGGAAUUACUAGGCGUAAAGGGCAGGUAGGUGGUUCGGUUAGUCUGUUGUGAAAGCUCCUUGCUUAACGGGGAGAGGUCAACAGAUACUGCCGGACUUGAGUAUAGGAGAGGGUACUGGAAUUCCCGGUGUAGCGGUGAAAUGCGCAGAGAUCGGGAGGAACACCAAUGGCGAAAGCAGGUACCUGGACUAUUACUGACACUCAGCUGCGAAAGCUAGGGGAGCAAACAGGAUUAGAUACCCUGGUAGUCCUAGCCGUAAACGAUGCACAUUAGGCGUGAGGGGUAUCGACCCCUUCGUGCCGAAGCAAACGCAUUAAAUGUGCCGCCUGGGGAGUACGGCCGCAAGGUUG
rnacentral:rRNA from 1 species